rnacentral:snoRNA from 1 species
UAAGCAGCACAGGUUCUCUCCGAGGUAGGCUAGGAUUUGAUAGUGCUAAGAGAAAAACCCUUGAUUGAAACCUUGCCCUGGGAUUGUGCUGUGCAGCUGUCACUCAGUGGGAGAGAG